ACAAAAGAGAGUUCUGUGGUCAAUUAAUCUCUCAUAAUGCACCUAAAACGCAGUCCACAGACGCUAAAGGCCACAAUUACAAACAGGCCUUUGUAAAUGACUUAUUACUUUCCCCAUAUGAGGAGAAGGAAAAGUUUUUCUCACUUACAAAGGCACAGAGAAUUGGCAGCAUCAAUGUGACAACUUCAGUCAUGGGUCGAAAGCAAAUACAAAAGAACACUGAACUGAAAACAGGAAUGCAGAAACGUGAGAUUCUGCAUCCUCCCUCUCUGGACCAGUAAUUUUUCUCUUUGGCCAAAAUUCUGUUACUGUAUUGAUCCUACCAGGCCACUUCACUCCUUUAGAAGAUAUCUACUUCAUCCUUUCCCUUGGCAACCACCAUUCAACUGUCUGUCAUGAGCUUUCUUAAGAAGUUAUCUUGGAAGUGGAUUCUUCAGCCCCGCUUCUUCCAGACUCUAGUAGUUUAAGUCUUUCCAGCUGGAUUUAAGGGAUGAGAGUGGAUGCAUGAAUUGAGGAGUCUCCAUCUGAGGAACUGAAAGACUGUGAAGAGCACAGCCCCCCACUGUUCACCUGAUGUAGACAAGGAACAGAAGAAAAAAUGAACUUCUGUUGUGUUAUGCCUUUGAAACUUGGGCAUUUUGUGCAAUGUAGAAUAAACUUGCCCACUUCAACUUAUGCAAUUUUUUUUACCUGAUAUCACAAUUCAUUUCUGAUUGGUUAAGAGAAUAUUUAAUGUUCUAAGUAAAUAUGCAUAUAUAUAAUAUUUAAAGCCAUUGAAUUCAAAGCUACUUAUUAGAUAUUCUUUGCUGUAUUUUGGUUAUUCUUUCUCAAAUUUAAUUAUGCUCACAGUAUAAUCUAUCUUAUGUGACAUAGUAUUGUUUCUCAGUACUAAUUUAGGAAAGGCCCAAGUGUAUUAAGGCUGUGUUUUAGAAAGAAUAUUGUUUCAGCUUUUGUAAGCAAGUCAUUUUAAGAAUUAAGAGUUACACCAAAAAAAAGUACUUUGACGUUAUGGGAUAUUUUGAUCAUUGAAACAGUGAUGUCAGAUGGUUAAACAGAUGUAGACAGAAGAUAAAUUAUUAUAUAUAGACAUUGACUAUUGUCGUAUAUGGAAUUGAACUAAACAGACAGUAUCUUUCUUUUGCUUAUAUAGCCAUGCUUUGUCAAGAAUUAUUUAGGGAAAGUAGGAAAGAAAUCAAUAGAUUUUUCAACAUCUGUGAAUCCCAUUCUUUUUACUUGGUUCAAUUUCCUGGUCUACUCUAUUUAAUAAGAAUCCUGCUGUUUUUCCAUCAGACAUUGUAGCAUUUUACAUCGUUUCUUAAUUGCUUGCCAUUUUACUUCUAGACUGGUUUUUAAAUUAUUUGUGACAGAAGCUCGACAAUCAAUACUUGCUUGAAAACUCCUUACUUUAUUUUAUUUUUGUACAUAUUUUUAUCCUCUAUGUGUGUGUAUGGUGUGUGUGUGUGUCUUAAUCCGUUGGAACUGCUAUGACAAAAUUCCUUAGACUUGGUAGCUUAUAAACAACAGAUAGAUAUUUAUUUCAUGAAGUUCUGAAGGCUAAGAAGUCCAUGAUAAAGGCACCAGUAGAUUUGGUUAUUUGGUGAAGGCUGCUUUUUGGCACCUUCUAAUGUGUAGUCAUGUGGUGGAAGGGGCAAAGCAGCUCUCUGGGGUCCCUUUAAUAAGGGCACUAAUCCCACUCAUGAAGCCUCCUCUCUAAAAAUCUCAUCACCUUCUGAAGGUCCUUCCUCUUAAUACCAUCACUUUGGUGAUUAAGUUUUCAACAGGUGAAUUUUGGGAGAACACAAACAAUCAGGCCAUGGCAGUAUGUAUGUUCAUUUGCAUGAAUCUCUGUCGGUUUUGUAAUCCCAUUUUACUUACUUUCAUCAAAAAGUAAAAUAUUUCCAGUUAUUUUUUUUCUAACAGGACUUAGACAUUUAUAAUAAUGUUAAUGUUAAGUAUUUCAUCUUUGACAAAGUGAGCUUUCAAAUUGGAUGAAAUAAAUUUAACCAUUGUUAGAAUCACCUUAGUGGGUUUACUGUUGAAAACAUUUCUUGAUUGAUAUAAAACUAAUGUUUUCAAUUAUUUGAGAAGUUCGGUGAAUGGAGCCGACACUGUAAGAACUGUCAUUUCAUUUCUCUUGCAUGCACAGAAAAUAAUUUUAAAUAGAAAAUGAGUGAAAUUAACAUAGAAAACAGUUGUUUUCAUUUGUUUGGAACAAAAUGUCUUGCUUCAUAGAGCAAUAUAUAAACACAAUUUCUGCAGCUCCAGGUAUUAAAUGUUUAAUGUCUGUUUAAUACACAAAUAACAUUUGAAGUAAAUGUGGUUGUUUUGUUAGCAGAAUUGUGCAUUCUGCUUUUAACAUGGUAUAACUGGUCUUCAGGGUGAGUGGUAAAGACAACUACUUAGUGUAAAUUACACAUUUAUCAUUCACUUUCUUCAUGCACAGAAAUUCAGUAAUUAUUUAUUAAAAUCGUAGCUUUCUUUAAGAUCAUGCAGCUAUAAGGGCUUACUGCGUAUUUUUUUAAGUGCUAGAGAAAGUGUUGCAGAUUUGCAACAUACAAUAAAUGGCAGUGACACAGCAUAAGCGGUGUCCAGACAACUCUCUAGACACCCUUGCAGGACAGCUUAGCCUUCCCUUCCUCACACAUUUUACAUCCACCUGACCUAUAAUUUCCCAUGUUACCCACUGACCUGAUUGACUAGAGACUUCAGGUAUCUCAAAGCCCAUGUAAAUGUAUUUUACUUUUCUGGGUAAGCUAAGAGGGAAGGUUAUUAACUGAGAGUGAGUAGAAAAGGGAGGUACUUAUUUUCAGCAAAAUUUGCUCACUAUGUCAUGUUACCCAAAUUUAACCAUUCUCAUAUCUUUCACCUUCCCUUAGUAUUUUAGGGAUAAAAGGGUCUCAUCUGGGGACUAUUUCUUAAUUGUUCCCUUGUGAGCUACUCGCCUGUAUCACACAAUCAUCCUUACCCUUCUUAGGCCCUUUAUUGUUUCCCUGUUUACAAACAAGAACUUGAACACUGUCUCCUCCUUGCUUGGCUGUAACAGCCACCUUGCUCUGUAGUAGUCAUUACCCACAGUCUCUUUUAAUUUAGCACACUACAACAAAAGACUGAAUCGCUGUAGCUGACUUAAUUGAAUGGCAACAAUAACUUGAUAGAAAUCACAGCUUACAAGGAAAAAAGACAUGUCUGUUACCUAAAUAUGACUAGUCAGUUUUCUAUAGGAAAAUAAUAAACAGCGGCUCUUCUUAUUGGUAAAAUGUGUUCCUAGAUCUCCUGUCUUGAGGUCAACCCUUCUGCCUUUUGCCAAUAGUAUGAUUGUUUCACAGAACACAUUGAAACUCAGUCCUUCAUUUACUUGUUAUUUUAUUCAUUCAAUAAAAUAUUUAUUGAUUUUUUUAAAUUUGUAACUUUUAGUUUUUGUGGGUAUACAUUAGGCAUAUAAAUUUAUGAGGUACAUGAGAUGUUCUGAUACAGGCAUGCAAUGUGUAAUAAUGACAUCAGAG
rnacentral:lncRNA from 1 species